AUAUUGUCAAUAAAAAUAUUUUCUAUGCAAAAGCCAUGCCCUAGCUAAGACUGAUACUCGCUUAUUAAAAGGCAAUUCAAAAAUAUAUGCUCCAAGUUUUUAUAUUGUUUUGCAUUAGACAGAAUGUGAUUAGAUACUGUUAAUCAACUGCAACAUGCUGCUCUCAGCUUCAUCUCAACAGCAUGUAAAAGAUUUUGUGCCUAAUGUAAAUCCAUGUGGAUUUAUCUUCUUAUGAAGCUUCUAAGAGACAGUUGUAUUAAAAGAACAAAAAUAUUGUGGCACUGCCUAAGAAUGAUUUGCUAUUUCUGUUCACACUUUCGUUGUAAUUUCUUUUUGUGGUGUGCAUUACUUGAAACUUCUGUCUUCAUUUUAAUUGCAGGAAAGAAUAAGCAAUUCAGAAAAAGAAAAUUAACUUUUGAAGAAAAACUAUAAUAAGCUGUGUGAGUGUCUUCUGUAUGACCCAUGAACAGCAGUGGAAAUCAAAGGAACAGCAAAUGAAACUGCAAAUUGCUAAACUAGAGAUGGCUAUCAAAUCUGAUUUAGCAGACAAAAAUGCAAUCUUUGACAAGAUCAAAGUAGAAAGAGGAAAUUGAAAAGUCUGGAUUAAAAUUAUAUCACUUAGUUUUACUAAGUCAUGAAUUACGCUAGAUGAAAUACAGCAGCUGAGUUUAGAAUGCAGGUGAUACAAUUUCCCUGCAGAGGACACUCCACUGUCACUUCCAAACCCAACAGGUGGGCAGAAGAGUGACUGUAACUACAGCACUGUGCUCAGUGAGACCCCAGAAGAUGAGCAGGAACUUUAAUGGGAAAAUACUGAUUUUGCUGAAUCUGUUUGAAAAAGGAGCCAAGAAAUACCAUUGAACAAGACACUGAUGUGUUUGAUUCACAAGAUGAUAGUGCAGUAAUUGGAAAGCUCAAAGGAGCAGUGGAAGCUCUCCAUGCACUGCCCUCAGUGGAGAGGGGAAUGCAAAGAUGACUACGAGGCAUGAAAGGAAGUUUGCCUACAGAAGAUCCUUCUCCCAGUGUAAAUACAUGCUUGAUAGUGCAUCAAAGAUGAGAUCUUUGUAAUUCCUACAGUAUAUUUAAUGUAUAAUUUAUGUGAAAAGGACGCUUGAUUUGUAGUUGUAAAGUUUUGUAUACUUUUCAGUCUGUUUGUUUUUAUAUUUCCCCCCUAGGCUAAGAAUAUCUCCACAAUGGACAACGUCUUGUAAAUAAUUAAUACCUACAUGAUUGAACGAUGUGCUUUAUUUGCAUUUUUAAGAUUUUUUUUCCUACAUAAAACAGUAAUAAAAAUGCAAGUCAAAA